rnacentral:lncRNA from 1 species
GAAUCCCAAAAUCUUACUAUAUUGUACAACUCGAGAAAAAUGGGUUCCAGGAAGUUGCUUGUUUUGGAGAUCUUUCUCUUGACACUUAUCCUUCUCUUGGCUUUUGAAGUGGCUGCAAGGGAACUGCUUGACGUCACGGGUAAGUUUCAAUCUGGAUUCUUGCUUUUGGGAACUGCUUUGGCUUUAGGUUGGUCAGUCGUAUUGGCUUUUGGAUUCUAUCCGUUCAUAUGUAGGAUUUUCUGAAAAAUUCUAUAACGAUUUCUGAAAAAACUUUAAUUCUAUAAAAAUUUAUUUUAAUAGAAUUCAAAUCAAUCGUUAAUAUUAAUUUAUAUCAAGAUAAAUAAGUUCAAAAUAGAACCCUAAAUGUUUGAACUGAACUUAUCUACAAUAUGAACGGUUUGUGUCAUUAAAAUGAACUCAAAAUAAAACUCAAAAUUUUUGAGUUGCACCCAUACAACUUCAGAGAAGCCAGAUCCAUAUUAUAUAUAUGAACAUAAGAAUCUUGAUAUAUUAUCUUUUGGAAAGAGUUUUACUAGAGACAAUGAACAGUGGAUGGAUAAUGCAAAUUCACAUGUGGUGGUACCCACGUAUUUAUUAGCUCAUUGCAACAAAAUAUAUAUUUUUUAUUUUUUUAUUUUGAAAAUCAUGUCCAAUGUUCUCUUCUACUUUUUAUAUUUCGUGUUUGAUUGGCAACUAGAAAUGGUUAUAAGUUUAUAACACACACAACACUGUUCAUGCUUGGUAAUGUUAGAUUUUGUUAAAGUGUUUUUUGGAAAAGCAACCCUUGAAGUAUUUCUGAAAAUAUGCUUAAAUCGACCCUUCAAAAGAAAAAACAAAAGCAUUAAGUAAUUUUUUAAAGGUUUUCCAAAUAUUCACGUACAACGUUUUUCUAGAUAAAAAUUGACAAAAAGCUUCUAGAAAUUUUUCAAAACAUGCUCACUAUAUUCCAUAAGUGUGAAAUAUAAUAUAUCACACGAUUACACUCCCAUGGUAUAUUAUAUCCCCACCAGCAAACAUGGCCCCCUCUCAAUAUUCAUUCAAUGGCUAUGACCAAUCCUUUUUUUCUUAUCCCAAGCCAUAUCCUGAUAUCCUAACCCAAACAAACAUAGUAUAUGUAUUAUUACUUUUUUUAUAUAUCGUGUAUCUUAUUGUAUUACGUAUCUCUUUAUCUUUUUGUAUCCUUUCAUUUCAUAUUCGGACAAUCAAACAAACCCUUAUCAUAUUUGUGUUGUUAAAACAGGCAAAAUCGAUCGGCAGCUCAGCGCAAAUGAUUACCCCCGGGGUUACAGUUAUUCGUACCCCACUUAUUAUUCUCCCAACCGCCCAUGAUGUUUGUUGAUCAAAAUUUAGAACUUAUGUAUAAGACCGAUUAAAAAGGUGGUUGAUAUGAGCAUGAGAGGCUAUUUGCUUAGCAACCUAUUUUGUUGUCACUACUACUUUGCCUCUUUGAUAAAAAGAUGGCAUCUUGUAAAAUCUAUGAUAGCUUAUGAAUAAAAUUCAGUGACUAAAGCUGUCCAUGACAUUUACUAUUAUCAUUUCUUUAUGCGUGUGAAAUUAUAUUUUAUUUUAAUAGCUCGGUAUCUAGUGCUUCACGUACCAACUAAUUUAGGGAUCAAUUCUAUCGUCCGUUAGUGGAGGGUCUGAUUAAAUUAGAUCGGUGCAAAUUCCCGUGUGGAUUGGUUAACUCAUUAAUUGAUAACUCUUGGGAAGUUUCGAACUAGAGAUCUUGAAAGAAAUCGAACAAACUUCAAGGUGAUCUCAUACAUAGAUCACCAAGCUAAUCAAUCCAUUGGAAUUAUAUGUGUGGAAAUUAAAGGGAGGAAAUGUGUAUAUAUGAUGGGCACAUAUUGGAGAAGUUUACAAGUUUAGGUGUGACUUUCUCUUCUCUUUUCUGUUCAGUACUCUCAAUAAUAUAGAAACCUAAAAUAUAUAUUUGUCUUCUCUCUCUAACUACUCUUCUCACUACUCUCUAAAUAAUAAUUUUUCUCACAUUUCUCUCUCCAAAUUCCUCCAGCGUCCUUUUACUUUUUUUCUCUAGUGUUCUCUAAGAUUUUUUAAUGUGUAUUACGGAGAAGAGAAUGGCGAUUUAUGGGUAAGCCUAGGUUUUCAAAUUUGGUAUCUUAUGGACUUAGAAACUUUUGGGGUGGCUUCACUGUCUGAAAUGCAAACUAAAAAUUUUGAUUUUUGGAAAGGAAAAAAUAAUAAAAAAUAAAAUAAAAAGUUUUUUGUAUAUAAAAUUAGACUUUCAAAAAAUAAUCGGGUUAAAAUUAAGUAAAUAGAUUUUUGGCUAAAAACUAUUUGAACUUUAAAAUAAAAUAUUUGACCUUAAAAGAAAAUAAAUUGGACUGAACCAAAACAAGUGUAUUUACAAUAGCCUUGGACUUCUAAAAAAGGAAAACUACUUGAGCGAAACAGACUUGGACUUUAAAAAUAACAAUUGGGUUAAAAAAAUUUUAAAAGAGAUUUUUUCAUGGCCCACUACUAUUCUGAGGUUAUAUUUACCAUUUAAUUUUUAGAGAAAAAAAUAUUGAUGAUUGGAUAUUGUGGCUUCAGCUUGGAUGAGGGAUUGUCAAGUAACCAAUAUUUGGUCCCGAUGUCCCAAGUUUUUAGAAACUUCCCACGCUGAGUGGGCUUAUCCAUUUCCGACAAUGUAUAACCAUAACCAGUUGAUCUGAUGUUAGAAAUUUGGUGUUUUUUAAAGUGCAGGAGUUAUAUGUAAAGUGGGCCUGAUUUAUUAGCCUAUGGAUUUAUAGGUUUGACCCACAUGCGGUUGCAUCGUAGCUGCUUGCCCUGCCCAACCCGAUUCGAUUCGUGUUCGUGCG